CUGAAAACUAGGCUAUCUUUUCAAAAAAGGUUUUAAGGAUUUGAAAUUAUGUAUUUACAGCUGAAGACUUUUCAGUAACUGUAUCGAAACGCAAUAGUCGCUAAUCCAGUUAACUCUUCUGCCACAUUCAUCGAAGGGGAGUGAGAGAGAGAGAGUGACCCUACUUUAGCCAGACUUAUCUGCUUAGACGGCUCUGGCUUGAAGGCAGAGAAGCUUUUGAGAGUUGCGGUAGGUGGAACGUGAAGCUAUACUAGCUUUCACGGGAAGGCCAAUUGUUGGUUCAGAGUUCAGACCACACUCACACAUCCUGAUAACAUUUUGCAGAGCAGGAAUAGAGUAACGUAAAAAAUGAGAGUAGCAGUGGUUGGUGCUGGGAUUAGUGGACUCGUUUCAGCUUAUGUUCUUGCAAAAGCUGGAGUUGAGGUUGUGCUAUACGAGAAAGAGGAUUACUUAGGCGGCCAUGCCAAGACUGUCACCUUCGAUGGUGUUGAUUUAGACCUCGGCUUCAUGGUCUUCAAUCGGGUAACAUAUCCAAAUAUGAUGGAGUUCUUCGAGAGACUUGGAAUAGAUAUGGAGUUAUCGGAUAUGUCAUUCUCAGUGAGCUUAGACGAAGGCCAGGGUUGUGAAUGGGGUAGCAGAAAUGGGCUGUCAGGUUUGUUUGCACAGAAGAAGAAUAUGUUAAAUCCGUACUUUUGGAAAAUGCUUCGAGAAAUUAUCAAGUUUAAGGAUGAUGUGCUCAGUUAUCUUGAGAUGCUUGAGAACAAUCCAGAUGUUGAUAGGAAUGAGACCUUAGGGAAAUUUGUCAAGUCACGAGGUUACUCUGAAUUAUUUCAGAAGGCUUAUCUUAUUCCCGUAUGUGGUUCUAUAUGGUCCUGCCCUUCAGAAGGAGUCAUGAGCUUUUCAGCUUUCUCUGUACUUUCAUUUUGCCGUAAUCAUCAUUUACUUGAGCUCUUUGGUCGGCCUCAGUGGCUCACUGUCACACGGCGAUCGCAUUCUUAUGUCGACAAGGUCAGAGAAAAGCUGGAAAGUUGGGGUUGCCAGAUACGAAUCGGUUGUGAGAUACAGGCUGUUUCAACUACAGACGAAGCAGGUUGCGCAGUUCUCUGUAGAGAUGGCUUGCUAGAAAUGUACAGUGGGUGCAUAAUGGCUGUCCAUGCCCCAGAUGCUCUGGCAUUAUUAGGAAAGCAAGCGACAUUUGAUGAGACGAGAAUACUUGGUGCUUUCCAAUAUAUGUAUAGCGAUAUUUUCCUUCACCGUGAUAAAAAGUUUAUGCCCCAAAACUCAGCAGCAUGGAGUGCAUGGAAUUUCUUAGGAAGUACUGACAAUAGAGUCUGCCUGACAUAUUGGCUGAAUGUGCUUCAGAAUAUUGAUGAAACAGGCCUGCCUUUUCUUGUGACACUCAAUCCAGAUCAUGCACCAGAUCAUACCUUGGUCAAGUGGUCAACUGGCCAUCCUGUUCCAUCUGUAGCUGCAACAAAAGCUUCGCUUGAGCUUGAUCAUAUUCAAGGCAAGAGGAGAAUUUGGUUUUGUGGAGCAUACCAGGGUUAUGGCUUCCAUGAAGAUGGACUAAAGUCAGGCAUGGUUGCUGCACACGGUUUGCUUGGAAACAGCUGUGCCAUUCUGAGCAAUCCAAAACAUAUGGCACCUUCUAUGUUAGAAACUGGGGCACGCCUUUUUGUUACUAGAUUUCUUGGACAUUAUAUCUCCACUGGCUGUUUAAUUUUGCUGGAGGAAGGAGGCACAGUUUUCUCCUUUGAGGGAACUUCAAAAAAAUGUUCACUGAAAACUGUUUUGAAGGUUCACAAUCCCCAGUUUUACUGGAAGAUAAUGACACGGGCUGAUUUAGGCCUCGCAGAUGCAUUUAUCAAUGGUGAUUUUUCCUUUGUUAACAAAGAUGAAGGCCUUCUAAACCUUUUCAUGAUUCUCAUUGUAAAUAGAGAUGCUAAUAAAUCUGCAUCAAAGCUGAACAAGAAAAGGGGCUGGUGGACACCAUUAUUAUUCACAGCCGGUAUUGCAUCUGCAAAAUUUUUCAUUCAGCAUGUAUCAAGGCAAAAUACUCUUACUCAAGCUCGCAGAAAUAUCUCUCGUCAUUAUGACCUGAGUAAUGAGCUUUUCGCACUGUUCUUGGAUGAAACAAUGACGUACUCCUGUGGAGUAUUUAAGACAGAGGACGAGGAUUUGAAAGACGCUCAAAUGAGAAAAAUAUCCCUUCUAAUCGAAAAGGCUAGAAUCAGUAAAGAUCAUGAAAUUCUUGAGAUUGGUUGUGGCUGGGGAACCUUGGCCAUUGAAGCUGUCCAACGAACUGGAUGUAAAUACACUGGCAUCACUCUAUCUGAAGAACAACUAAAAUAUGCAGAAAUGAAAGUAAAGGAAGCUGGCCUCCAGGACCGUAUAGCAUUUCACCUCUGCGACUAUCGCCAAUUGCCCAAGACCCACAAAUACGACAGAAUAAUAUCCUGUGAAAUGAUAGAAGCCGUCGGCCAUGAAUACAUGGAAGAGUUUUUUGGCUGCUGCGAAUCAGUAUUAGCAGAAAAUGGGCUUCUUGUCCUACAGUUCAUAUCAAUACCAGAAGAAAGAUAUGAUGAGUAUAGGCAAAGCUCAGAUUUUAUUAAGGAAUAUAUUUUUCCUGGUGGAUGCUUGCCUUCAUUAACAAGAAUAACAUCAGCCAUGGCCACCUCAUCGAGACUGUGCGUGGAGCAUGUGGAAAAUAUUGGAAUUCAUUACUAUCAAACACUUAAAUAUUGGAGAAAGAAUUUCCUGGAGAAGCAGAGAAAAAUUCUUGCCCUGGGAUUCAAUGAGAAGUUCAUCCGAACAUGGGAGUAUUAUUUUGACUAUUGUGCAGCUGGUUUCAAGACACAUACACUUGGAAAUUACCAGGUUGUAUUUUCACGUCCUGGCAAUGUUGUUGCACUAAGCAAUCCAUACAAAAGUUUCCCUUCAGCGUAUUGAUUCUUUUCUGUGAGGGAAGAUAGCACCAUCACACUGAAGCCAGUCCAACCAAAUUCAAAGAUCUCCCUUGAAAGCUAGCUUGUCUUGACAACUAGCAGAAUUACUGUUCAGGAUA